CAGGGGCCCAAAAUAAAUUCAGCGUUAAGCCCCCGAAAGCCUAGAACCGGACCUACAUACACCUCUCAGGUGUGUGGCAUGGUGUUGCGGAAUUUUUCUCUCCAGCCAAAGCUAUUUUUUCAAGACCUGCUUUGAAUGCAUUGGCUAUCCAUCUCAAAUAAGUAUAUGCAGCCUAACACAUAGCCUAUACUCGUUUAUGUAUAAUGCGUAACGGGUUAAUUUACUAUUACGGACAUCGCGAACUAAACAGCAUUCUCUUUCAUUGUGAUUAUGUAGGCUAUCGGACAGCGGUUUUUGUUUAGGACUAUCGCGCUCUGGAGAUGACUUCUUUUUGGUGGAUUACUCGUUGAAAGAGCCGAUCUUUUCGAGCGCAACCAAACUGGUGAAUUGUUCAACAUCUUUCCGCUCCAGGAAACUGGAACUCAUGGCUUCGUCUCAUAAACUGGGUCAUCGGAGGGAUAUCAAUGCCUGGCCAAGAAUGUCUUCAACUUUUUGUGCUGCGGUGCUACUGACCAGCCUACUGAUAAUUUACUGUGAUGAGAAACCUAUAGGUUCAAGAGACUCAUGCAGGCAUUCUCUGACCCAGUGACUGAGAUCAACCUGCUCUUUUACCAAGAUGAUUACCUUCAUCCACAAACUUUGCUCAAAGUUUGUAAAGCCUGCAGCUCUUCGGAACCUGGAGCCACAAGAAAUCCACUAUGAGGAAUAGACAAACCAACUGCCAGGUAGGCUAACGGUUGAUGAUAGGUGGAAUUACACAGUGAGUUGGAAUUAUUGGAUUAGUGUCUACAGUGAAUAAUUUUUUUAAUCAAUGUCUUUCGGGCAGGAGCAGAGCUGAAUGUUGGUUAAACAACAAGAUCCAAGAUUAACAGGCUUCUUGAGGCUGGAGACAUCCAAACUACCCUUCACAUAAUUUUAGGAAAUCUCACUCCAAGCUAUCUUCAGGAGUUGGCAGGCCUGAAUCAACCAAUCUGGAGGUUUCCUACUACCCUUACUAAGCAUAUCAGUGCUGUUCAUAACUAGAUUAAUUGGAUCAAGACAGGGUAAAUUAUAUAAAUCAUGGCCAGAAAUUGUUUUUGGUACUGCAGCACCGGUAGAAAAAAUGAAGAGAAUCCAAAACAUCACUUGUGACAACAAUCUGUUAAAAAUGAUUUGGACUUAAAGAGAACAAGAGAAGCUGGGGCAAGACACUGAUACUGGCCAAUCAUCACUAUAUACGUGUGUUUGUGUGUCUAUGUUCAUAAUAUGUAUAAGGAAAAUGUGUGAUUUACCAAACAAUUCUACAAGCAUUGUAGGAGAUGAUAAAUACCAAUUGUUCUUAGCCUCAGUGUCCCCUUGACAGUCUGUUGAGCCUCAGUGUUUGAAAACUUAGUUUUGCUGAAUGGCAUGUUUUAUCUGCUGAGCCAAUCUGUACUUUCUGCAAAAAUGGCCCAUCUGUAUCUGAAAACUCGGGAAAAUGAAUCAUGUGCCAAAUAUUUCAUCUGAGAAACCAAAGCAAUCUUAUAUUACAUUUCUCAUCUUCUGAGUCUACAGUAAUAUAUCAACAAUUGUUUUACACAUGGAAAUCUCAAUAGAUUUUUCAUGACAAAUGCACUGAAGGUAAAAUUAUUUGACAUACAUAUGUUAGCCUGUUAAGAAACAUUGCAAAGAAAAAACAAUCAAACUGAAGCCUAACUGAAUUAUUCUCACAAUUACAUGAACUUUUAAAAUAAUAUUCUGUAGCUCUCAAACGUAUUGGACUUCUCCACAUUUUCCAAUUGCUACAUGAAAUGAAAAUGGAUUUAAUCAGAAGAUUUUGCCAUCAAAAUAUUAACAAACUUAACAGAAUACAUCUGCAAAUUGUUUGAAAUGCAUUGCUUAUAUUAAACAGAAAAUAGCCGAUUUAGUAAGUAUUACUUGCCUUUACUAUGUCACCCCUGAACAAGCUGCUAUAUUUAGCACAACCGUAACACCCCACACACACCAUAGCUGCAGUUUUCACACUAAAUCGGGCUACUUUUCAAACAAUGUUGCGAUUUUUUGGCAUACUUCUGAACUUCACAGCAGCAGCACCUUUUCUGUCUUUAUAUUGCUAUAUUUAGUGUUUCUAUGCUGUUAUCACAUCAGACGUCAGCUACGGUAGGAUCCGCGGUUUCACCUGCGUAUAUACUGCAUCUUAUGUUGUGUUACGGGGGAUUUGGUUCACUUGUAAAAUAGUCUAUAUUGUGCACCAACAAAAGUUGGGCUAGUUUUCAGUCAUUUUGGGAUGGAUUUGAGCAGUCGUUGGGCCAGAAAUGUUUGCUUAACCCGGUUAAUACUGUCCUGAAAACCCCUAAUGCAGCGAGAUGCUUCUCUGGAAUGCUUAUCAGCAUGUAGUAGAUCAAAUGUUUAAAAAAAUAUACAUACAAGCUUAUUAUUGUAAUGUUUGACUACUUUAUAUUCAGUGUUACAAUAUUUUUAUUUUAUUUUUCCAACAGACUUU
rnacentral:lncRNA from 1 species